AAUAUUGGAAAAUGGGUGAAAGCCUGAUCCAGCCAUGCCGCGUGUGUGAAGAUGGAAAUAGAUAUGUAAAGCACUUUUAGGAGAGAGAUAGGGCCGUGAGCUACUACCUUGCUAUUUUCACGAUUCCGACAGUAUAAGCCCCGGCUAACUUCGUGCUAGCAGCCGCGGUAAUACGAAGGGUGCAAUCGUUAACCGGAUUUACUGGGCGUAAAGCGCGCGUAGGUGGUUUGUCAAGUGGGAAGUGAAAGCCCCGGGCUCAACCUGGGAACUGCUUUCAAAACUGGCAAGCUAGAGUAUGGCAGAGGGUGGUGGAAUUUCCUGUGUAGCGGUGAAAUGCGUAGAUAUAGGAAGGAACAUCAGUGGCGAAGACGACCACCUGGGCUAAUACUGACACUGAGGUGCGAAAGCGUGGGGAGCAAAC
rnacentral:rRNA from 1 species